rnacentral:snRNA from 1 species
GUGCUCGCUUCAGCAGCACAUGUACCAAAAGAGAAGAUUAGCAUGACCCCUGCGCAAGGAUGACACGCAAAUUCGUGAAGCGUUCCAUAUUUUUU